rnacentral:rRNA from 1 species
UACAGGGGGUGCAAACGUUGCUCGGAAUUAUUGGGCGUAAAGCGCGCGUAGGCGGCCGCUUAAGUCGGAUGUGAAAGCCCCUGGCUCAACUGGGGAAGUGCACCCGAAACUGAGUGGCUUGAGUACUAAAGAGGGUCGCGGAAUUCCCGGUGCAGAGGUGAAAUGCGCAGAUAUCAGGAGGAACACCGGUGGCGAAGGCGGGACUCUGGGCCGAUACUGACGCUGAGGAGCGAAAGCGUGGGGAGCAAACAGG